AGUUACGUGGCCGAGUGGCGAGGCAGAGGCCGGCAAACCCUCCUACGGUGGUUCGACUCCACCCGUAACUG
rnacentral:tRNA from 1 species